rnacentral:rRNA from 1 species
ACUACCGGGUUGAUAGGCACCAAGUCUAAAGGCAGCGAUGUCAAAGCUAGGGUGUACUAAUAGACCGAGGGCUUGACCUA